rnacentral:rRNA from 1 species
UACGGGGGGGGCAAGCGUUGUUCGGAAUUAUUGGGCGUAAAGAGCUCGUAGGCGGACUGUCACGUCUGCUGUGAAAAGCUGGGGCUUAACCCUGGCCUUGCAGUGGAUACGGGCAGACUAGAGGUAGGUAGGGGAGAAUGGAAUUCCCGGUGUAGCGGUGAAAUGCGCAGAUAUCGGGAGGAACCCCGGUGGCGAAGGCGGGUCUCUGGACAGUUCCUGACGCUGAGGCACGAAGGCCAGGGGAGCAAACGGG